rnacentral:rRNA from 1 species
GACGAACGCUGGCGGCGUGCCUAAUACAUGCAAGUAGAACGCUGAAGAGAGGAGCUUGCUCUUCUUGGAAGAGUUGCGAACGGGUGAGUAACGCGUAGGUAACCUGCCUUGUAGCGGGGGAUAACUAUUGGAAACGAUAGCUAAUACCGCAUAACAAUGGGUGACCCAUGUCAUUCAUUUGAAAGGGGCAACUGCUCCACUACAAGAUGGACCUGCGUUGUAUUAGCUAGUAGGUGAGGUAACGGCUCACCUAGGCGACGAUACAUAGCCGACCUGAGAGGGUGAUCGGCCACACUGGGACUGAGACACGGCCCAGACUCCUACGGGAGGCAGCAGUAGGGAAUCUUCGGCAAUGGGGGCAACCCUGACCGAGCAACGCCGCGUGAGUGAAGAAGGUUUUCGGAUCGUAAAGCUCUGUUGUAAGUCAAGAACGAGUGUGAGAGUGGAAAGUUCACACUGUGACGGUAGCUUACCAGAAGGGGACGGCUAACUACGUGCCAGCAGCCGCGGUAAUACGUAGGUCCCGAGCGUUGUCCGGAUUUAUUGGGCGUAAAGCGAGCGCAGGCGGUUUGAUAAGUCUGAAGUUAAAGGCUGUGGCUCAACCAUAGUUCGCUUUGGAAACUGUCAAACUUGGGUGCAGAAGGGGAGAGUGGAAUUCCAUGUGUAGCGGUGAAAUGCGUAGAUAUAUGGAGGAACACCGGUGGCGAAAAGCGGCUCUCUGGUCUGUAACUGACGCUGAGGCUCGAAAGCGUGGGGGAGCGAACAGG